GUGGCCAUCUUACUGGGCAGCAUUGGAUGGUGUCCGAUCUCUAAUACUGCCUGGUAAUGAUGACGGC
rnacentral:pre_miRNA from 1 species